UACGGAGGGUGCAAGCGUUAUCCGGAAUCACUGGGUUUAAAGGGUGCGUAGGCGGCUUGAUAAGUCAGAGGUGAAAGCUCACGGCUCAACCGUGGAACUGCCUUUGAUACUGUCAGGCUUGAAUUGGGUUGAGGCUGGCGGAAUGUGGCAUGUAGCGGUGAAAUGCUUAGAUAUGCCGUAGAACACCGAUUGCGAAGGCAGCCAGCCAAGCCUUGAUUGACGCUGAGGCACGAAAGCGUGGGGAGCUAACAGG
rnacentral:rRNA from 1 species